GUGAACGCUGGCGGUAGGCCUAACACAUGCAAGUCGAACGGCAGCACCGUAAGAGCUUGCUCUUACGGGUGGCGAGUGGCGGACGGGUGAGGAAUACAUCGGAAUCUACUUUUUCGUGGGGGAUAACGUAGGGAAACUUACGCUAAUACCGCAUACGACCUACGGGUGAAAGCAGGGGAUCUUCAGACCUUGCGCGAUUGAAUGAGCCGAUGUCGGAUUAGCUAGUUGGCGGGGUAAAGGCCCACCAAGGCGACGAUCCGUAGCUGGUCUGAGAGGAUGAUCAGCCACACUGGAACUGAGACACGGUCCAGACUCCUACGGGAGGCAGCAGUGGGGAAUAUUGGACAAUGGGCGCAAGCCUGAUCCAGCCAUACCGCGUGGGUGAAGAAGGCCUUCGGGUUGUAAAGCCCUUUUGUUGGGAAAGAAAAGCAGCAGGUUAAUACCCCGCUGUUCUGACGGUACCCAAAGAAUAAGCACCGGCUAACUUCGUG
rnacentral:rRNA from 1 species